rnacentral:rRNA from 1 species
CAGAAUGAACGCUGGCGGUGUGCUUAACACAUGCAAGUCGAACGAGAAAACCCUUCGGGGUGAGUAAAGUGGCGAACGGGUGAGUAACGCGUAAGAAUCUACCCUUUAGUGAAGAAUACCUUCGAGAAAUCGAGGUUAAUACUGCAUACGUCCUUAUGCUGAGAGGCAUAAGGGGAAAGGUGGCCUCUUGCUACCGCUGAAGGAUGAGCUUGCGUACUAUUAGCUAGUUGGUAAGGUAAAGGCUUACCAAGGCAGUGAUGGUUAACCGGCCUGAGAGGGUGGUCGGUCACAUUGGGACUGAGAUACGGCCCAGACUCCUACGGGAGGCAGCAGUGGGGAAUUUUGCACAAUGGGCGCAAGCCUGAUGCAGCGACACCGCGUGGAGGAAGAAGGUCUUCGGAUUGUAAACUCCUGUUAAGUGGGAAGAAAGGCGCAUGAGUAAUAUGCAUGCGAGAUGACGGUACCACUAGAGAAAGCUCCGGCUAACUUCGUGCCAGCAGCCGCGGUAAUACGAAGGGAGCGAGCGUUAUUCGGAAUUACUGGGCGUAAAAGAGCGUGUAGGCGGUUUAUUAAGUCAGUUGUUAAAGCCCACGGCUUAACUGUGGAACUGCAAUUGAUACUGGUGAGCUAGAGGGCAAGAGAGAGAAGUGGAAUUCUCGGAGUAGCGGUAAAAUGCGUAGAUCUCGAGAGGAACACCAAUGGCGAAGGCAGCUUUUUGGCUUGUCCCUGACGCUGAGACGCGAAAGCGUGGGGAGCAAACAGGAUUAGAUACCCUGGUAGUCCACGCCGUAAACGAUGAUCACUAAAUGUUGGUCUUGCUUUGCGAGAUUAGUGUUAAAGCUAACGCGUUAAGUGAUCCGCCUGGGGAGUACGAUCGCAAGAUUAAAACUCAAAGGAAUUGACGGGGGUCCGCACAAGCGGCGGAACAUGUGGUUUAAUUCGACACUACGCGAGGAACCUUACCUGGGUUUGACAUGUACGCGACAGCUGUAGAAAUACAGUUUUCCUGGUCUUACCACGACGCGUACACAGGUGCUGCAUGGCUGUCGUCAGCUCGUGUCGUGAGAUGUUGGGUUAAGUCCUUUAACGAGCGCGACCCCUACCGUUAGUUGCAAGCCUUCGGGCGCACUCUAGCGGGACCGCCGGAAACAAGGAGGAAGGUGGGGAUGACGUCAAGUCCUCAUGGCCCUUAUACCCAGGGCUACACACACGCUACAAUGGCCGGCACAAUGGGUCGCCAAGCCGUGAGGCGGAGCUAAUCCUCUAAAGCCGGUCUCAGUUCAGAUUGGAGCUGCACUCGCCUCCAUGAA